rnacentral:rRNA from 2 species
CUAAGAAUCUUCCACAAUGGACGGAAGUCUGAUGGAGCGACGCCGCGUGGACGAUGAAGGCCGUGAGGUUGUAAAGUCCUUUUCGGGAGGGGGAAUAACCUGGGGAGGGAAUGCCCCGGGGAUGACGUGAAUCCCGGAAUAAGCCCCGGCUAACUACGUGCCAGCAGCCGCGGUAAUACGUAGGGGGCGAGCGUUGUUCGGAAUCAUUGGGCGUAAAGGGUGCGCAGGUGGCCUUUCAAGUCUGGCGUUAAAGUUCGGGGCUCAACUCCGUGAUGCGCUGGAAACUGGAGGGCUAGAGUACAGCAGGGGGCAUCGGAAUUCCAGGUGUAGGGGUGAAAUCUGUAGAUAUCUGGAAGAACACCGGUGGCGAAGGCGGAUGCCUGGGCAUGUACUGACACUGAGGCACGAAGGUGCGGGGAGCAAACAGG